UACGUAGGGGGCGAGCGUUGUCCGGAGUUACUGGGCGUAAAGGGCCCGCAGGCGGUUCGGCCGAUUCAGACUGACAAUUCUGCCCUUAAUGCAGAGAGGCGUCUGAAAACUGCCGAACUUGAGGCAAUGAGAGGGACAGGGAAUUCCGGGUGGAGUGGUGAAAUGCGUAGAUAUCAGGAGGAACACCUGUGGCGAAAGCGGCUCACUGGACCAUUACUGACGCUGAUGCUCGAAAGCUAGGGGAGCAAACAGG
rnacentral:rRNA from 1 species